ACGAAAGCUGGCGGCGUGCCUAAUACAUGCAAGUAGAACGCUGAAGAGAGGAGCUUGCUCUUCUUGGAUGAGUUGCGAACGGGUGAGUAACGCGUAGGUAACCUGCCUUGUAGCGGGGGAUAACUAUUGGAAACGAUAGCUAAUACCGCAUAAAAAUGGUUGACACCUGUCAUUUAUUUGAAAGGGGCAAUUGCUCCACUACAAGAUGGACCUGCGUUUUAUUAGCUCGUAGGUGAGGUAAUGGCUCACCUAGGCGACGGUACAUAGCCGGCCUGAGAGGGUGAUCGGCCACACUGGGACUGGGACACGGCCCAGACUCCUACGGGAGGCAGCAGUAGGGAAUCUUCGGCAAUGGGGGCAACCCUGACCGAGCAACGCCGCGGGAGGGAAGAAGGGUUUCGGAUCGGAAAGCUCUGUUGUAAGUCAAGAACGGGUGUGAGAGUGGAAAGUUCACACUGUGACGGUAGCUUACCAGAAAGGGACGGCUAACUACGUG
rnacentral:rRNA from 1 species